rnacentral:misc_RNA from 1 species
GAUGAAUAACGUAGUGAAAUGCGAUAAGUAAUGUGAAUUGCAGAAUUCAGUGAAUCAUCGAAUCUUUGAACGCACAUUGCGCCCCUUGGUAUUCCGAGGGGCAUGCCUGUUCGAGCGUCAUUAUAACCCUCAAGCUCAGCUUGGUGUUGGGGCCUGCUGCACUGGCAGCCCUUAAAAUCAGUGGCGGCGCCAUCUGGCUCUAAGCGUAGUAAUUCUUCUCGCUAUGGAGUCCUGGUGGAUGCUUGCCAUCAACCCCCAAUUUUUCUAUGGUUGACCUCGGAUCAGGUAGGGAUACCCGCUGAACUUAAGCAUAUCAAUAAGCGGAGGA